ACACAGGUGCUGCAGUGGCUGUCGUCAGCUCGUGUCGUGAGAUGUUGGGUUAAGUCCCGUAACGAGCGCAACCCUUGUCCUUAGUUACCAGCACGUUAUGGUGGGCACUCUAAGGAGACUGCCGGUGACAAACCGGAGGAAGGUGGGGAUGACGUCAAGUCAUCAUGGCCCUUACGGCCUGGGCUACACACGUGCUACAAUGGUCGGUACAAAGGGUUGCCAAGCCGCGAGGUGGAGCUAAUCCCAUAAAACCGAUCGUAGUCCGGAUCGCAGUCUGCAACUCGACUGCGUGAAGUCGGAAUCGCUAGUAAUCGUGAAUCAGAAUGUCACGGUGAAUACGUUCCCGGGCCUU
rnacentral:rRNA from 1 species